UACGUAGGGUGCGAGCGUUGUCCGGAUUAUUGGGCGUAAAGGGCUCGUAGGCGGUUUGUCGCGUCGGGAGUGAAAACCUACAGCUUAACUGUGGGCUUGCUUUCGAUACGGGCAGACUAGAGGUAUGCAGGGGAGAACGGAAUUCCUGGUGUAGCGGUGAAAUGCGCAGAUAUCAGGAGGAACACCGGUGGCGAAGGCGGUUCUCUGGGCAUGAUCUGACGCUGAGGAGCGAAAGUGUGGGGAGCGAACAGG
rnacentral:rRNA from 1 species